rnacentral:lncRNA from 1 species
AUUCUUACACUUAACACCAUAAACAACUAAAAACAUCCAUAUAUCUUAAAAAUCUAUCUAAAUCAUCAUCAAAUUCUCUCUCCUAGGGUUUGAUCAGCACACUAUCCUUCAUGAUAUCUUGUGAUUCAACCAUGAAAAAUGUAAAAUAAUGCAUAGGAAAGAUAGAUCACAAGCCAAAAUCAAGAAAUUUUAACUUUGAUUGCUUGAUUACUUGAAAUCCACCAAUUUUCUUUUGAAUUUUCACUCUAGGGUUUUUGUUCUUCUUUUCUUUCUUUGUUCUUGUUAUGGCCGGCC